GGUGUCAGAGCCAAAAAUGAGACGUUGAGUGUACUCAGCUUAAUUCAGAGUUUCGUCUCCCAGCUUUAGGUUUAAGCGCGUAAAAGCUUUCACGAUUUUCCUUAUUUAUACCUAAUAAGUGAACUUGAGACAUUAUUGCUGAAGAUGGCUUCGCAUAGCAGACUAUUAAUUAAAGGUGGCAAAGUCGUCAAUGACGACUUGAUGUUCACUGCUGAUGUGUAUAUUGAAGAUGGUCUAAUAAAGCAAGUGGGAAAAGACAUUUUUCCACCUGGGGGUUCAAGAAUUAUUGAAGCCAAAGGAAAGCUAAUUAUACCAGGUAAUUUGGCACUUUAUUCCUAACUUUCUUAACACUGUGACUCUAAUGUUUACUUUUAAAGUUUCACAACAGCUUUAAAAUUAGCUUACCUCUUUAAAGCAAAUGUCAUGUGCUCUGAAGGAAUUUGUCUAAACAACUAAAGGUAAAACUUAUAUUUCCUGAAGCUCUAACACUCGUACAGCAACAAAUUAAAUACAGGUUAUCUGAAAAUUCCUUAACUCCACAUACGGGGGGGGGGGAAGGUAGAGAACAUCAGUAUGAAGUGAAAGAGGAAAACUGGAAACAGUAACUGUGCAUAUCACUUGCAGAACUAAAAAUUACUCAUUUAUCUUACUAGGUUAACUCGUUAAAUACCAAGCCUAUUUUUCUUGAUCUAAGGCCUCUCCUUAGGGACCAGUGUGGUGUUCAACAUGUUAAAUAUUUUUCCAGGUACAUGAUUGAUUUUGUAACAUGAUGGAUAAAUGCAUAUGAAUGUUGAUGCUUAUCUUGGAUAUUUUUGUAGUGUAAUAGCUUAUUUUCAGAAGUAGUUAAAUUUCAUCUUUUGUAAAAAUUUUGUUUUGUCACUAGCAUUUCAGUGUAAAUGUUUUCUUGUCAGCUUUAAAAUGGAAUAAUACUUGUUUAUUAAUUGUAAUAAAAAUAUAAAUAUGCAAGAGAAUUUUUUUAUCAGCUGCAGUUGUAUGGUCAUGCUAAUCCAAUAAUUUUCUCUUGGUUGUUAACUGAUCUAGCUUCUAUCAAUAAAUUAUGGUCAUUUAUAUUUUUUUAAUAUUAAGCUUUUUUCCUCAAAUAUUUUAAUUGACACAAAAUUUUGUUUACCAUCUCUGCUCUGAAUAACUAUUGUUAAGUUUUAAUGUAAAAAAAAAAAAAAAAAAAAAAAAAAAAAAAAA
rnacentral:misc_RNA from 1 species